rnacentral:rRNA from 1 species
CUAUGCGCCUUGCCAGCCCGCUCAGGUGUGCCAGCCGCCGCGGUAAUACGGAGGAUGCGAGCGUUAUCCGGAUUUAUUGGUUUAAAGGGUGCGUAGGCGGUCCGUUAAGUCAGCGGUAAAAUUGCGGGGCUCAACCCCGUCGAGCCGUUGAAACUGGCAGACUUGAGUUGGCGAGAAGUACGCGGAAUGCGCGGUGUAGCGGUGAAAUGCAUAGAUAUCGCGCAGAACUCCGAUUGCGAAGGCAGCGUACCGGCGCCAGACUGACGCUGAGGCACGAAAGCGUGGGGAUCGAACAGG